rnacentral:rRNA from 1 species
AUUGAACGCUGGCGGCAGGCCUAACACAUGCAAGUCGGGCGGUAGCACAGGGAGCUUGCUCUCGGGUGACGAGCGGCGGACGGGUGAGUAAUGUCUGGGAAACUGCCUGAUGGAGGGGGAUAACUACUGGAAACGGUAGCUAAUACCGCAUAACGUCGCAAGACCAAAGAGGGGGACCUUCGGGCCUCUUGCCAUCAGAUGUGCCCAGAUGGGAUUAGCUAGUAGGUGGGGUAAUGGCUCACCUAGGCGACGAUCCCUAGCUGGUCUGAGAGGAUGACCAGCCACACUGGAACUGAGACACGGUCCAGACUCCUACGGGAGGCAGCAGUGGGGAAUAUUGCACAAUGGGCGCAAGCCUGAUGCAGCCAUGCCGCGUGUAUGAAGAAGGCCUUCGGGUUGUAAAGUACUUUCAGCGAGGAGGAAGGCAUUGUGGUUAAUAACCACAGUGAUUGACGUUACUCGCAGAAGAAGCACCGGCUAACUCCGUGCCAGCCGCCGCGGUAA